rnacentral:rRNA from 1 species
UACGUAGGGUGCGAGCGUUGUCCGGAAUUAUUGGGCGUAAAGGGCUCGUAGGCGGUUUGUCGCGUCGGGAGUGAAAACCUUGGGCUUAACCCUGGGCUGGCUUCCGAUACGGGCAGACUAGAGGUAUGCAGGGGAGAACGGAAUUCCUGGUGUAGCGGUGAAAUGACGCAGAUAUCAGGAGGAACACCGGUGGCGAAGGCGGAUCUCUGGGCCUUACCUGACGCUCAGGCGCGAAAGCUAGGGGAGCGAACAGG